AACGAACGCUGGCGGCAGGCCUAACACAUGCAAGUCGAGCGCCCAGCAAUGGGAGCGGCAGACGGGUGAGUAACACGUGGGAACCUUCCCUAUAGUACGGAAUAGCCCAGGGAAACUUGGAGUAAUACCGCAUACGCCCCGAGAGGGGAAAGAUUUAUCGCUAUAGGAUGGGCCCGCGUAGGAUUAGCUAGUUGGUGAGGUAAUGGCUCACCAAGGCGACGAUCCUUAGCUGGUCUGAGAGGACGACCAGCCACACUGGGACUGAGACACGGCCCAGACUCCUACGGGAGGCAGCAGUGGGGAAUAUUGGACAAUGGGCGCAAGCCUGAUCCAGCCAUGCCGUGUGAGUGAUGAAGGCCUUAAGGGUUGUAAAGGCUCUUUUGUCCGGGGACGAUAAUGACGGUACCCGGAGAAGUAAGUCCCGGCGUAACUUCGUGCCAGCA
rnacentral:rRNA from 1 species